UUGUUUCUUCCUUUCUUCCUUUAUUAAGAGUGUUUUGUAUGAGAGUUAGUGUUGGGAAGCACUUGUGUGAACCCUUUCUUUGGAGUGAUCUUGUGAGGUUAUUCUCUUAGGGUAUUUGGGAUUAAUUAGAGUGUUUACUCUAAUUUUGUACUCUUAUUGUUAUAGUAAAUUGCUCCUCUCCGCUUGUGGACGUAGGUCACUUUGACCAAACCACAUUAAAUUUAUGUCUUCUUUAUCUACUUUAAUUGUCGUUGUUAUCAACUUCCAUUGUCUUUGUUAUUGCCAUUAUACCGUUGUUUGGCUAAAGUCCGCACUAUCCGAGUUCCUGAUCCUAAUAAAUUGGUAUCAGAGCCGGAUCUAACCGGGUUAGUUUCAAUGGCCAAAAUGACUCUAACAAAGACCUAUGUUGAGAAAUUUGACCGAAGUGCAAACUUCGAAAUGUGGCAAUUAAAAAUGGAAGCUAUCCUAAUUCAGGAUGACUUAGACUUGGCGUUGCAAGGAAAGGAGAAGAAGCCGGAUAAAAUGACAGACGAGGAGUUUGCCAUCAUAGACAAAAAGGCAAAAGCAGGUAUCAUUUUAAAUCUCUCAAAUGAGGUUUUACGUGAAGUUUCUGUAGAAACCACAGCUAAAGGUAUGUGGGAAAAAUUGAAAACCUUAUAUAUGAAGAGGACGGUAGAAAAUAGACUUUACCUGAAGCAGAAGUUUUAUACAAUUCGUAUGGGUGAAGGUACCUCUAUUCUCUCUCAUCUUGACACCUUUGAUUCCAUUCUUAUGGAUUUGAGUAAUAUAGAUGCUGAAAUUAAAAAUGAGGAUCAAGUCGUGUUACUGCUUUGUUCUCUACCCCUAUCUUUUAAGCAUAUAAGAGAUACUAUGCUUUAUGCAAAGGAUAAUAUCUCUUAUAAGGAUAUUAAAUCUAUCUUAAAAUCAAAAGAACAGAUAGAUAGUGAUAUUACUGGGGAAGCUAGUGGAACUCAAGCGGAAGUUGGCUUGUUUGUUAGAGGCAAAUCUGACUCCAUAUCCAGAUACAAUAAUUUAGAGUGUCGCUAUUGUCAUAAGAAAAGUCACAAUAUUUCUGAAUGCUAUAAACAGAAAAAUAAAGAAAAGCAUAAAGAAAGAAAAAAUAAGCACAAAAAUACUGACAUCGCCGAAGCUAGUGUAGCAACUGAUGAGAUUGAGGGAACUAUAUUUUUAGCAACUGAAACUAGUUUCAGAUUAGACAAUGAGUGGAUUUUAGAUUCCGGUUGUUCAUAUCAUAUGUGUCCUAGCAGAGACUUGUUUUCUACAUAUGAUUCAGUUGCAGGUGGAGUUGUCCAAUUAGGUAACAAUGUUACUUGUAACGUUAUUGGCAAAGGUAUAAUUCGGGUCAGAAUGCACGAUGAUGUGGUGAGAACUCUCACCGAUAUUAGAUAUGUUCCUGAGUUGAAGAAAUAUCUCAUAUCUUUGGGCACUUUAGAAUCGCUUGGGUGCAAAUUCACUAGUGAAGGUGGAGUUUUAAAAAAAUUUCAAGAUGCUCUUGUGAUCAUGAAAGCAUAUAGAUCUGGUUCGUUGUAUACUUUAUUGGGUUCCACUGUUAUAGGCCCUACUACAGUUUGGUAUCAGACAACUUGUCUGAUUUUGAUGGCAUUAAAUUUUGACAUAUGUCCAUUGGGGCUUUUGCGGAGAAGGUGGAGUAAAUUUACUAUAUCAACCAAAAUUAGGCCAAGGUGGAGAUUUGUAAUAUGGCCAAAUUUUUAUGACAUUUGCCAUGACAUAAUAUCCAUUAUAACAAAUUUGUGGUUCAUGACAUUUGUCAUGACAUAAUAUCUAUUAUAACAAAUUUGUGGUUCAUGACAUUUGUCAUGACAUAAUAUCCAUUAUAACAAAUUUGUGGAUCAUGACAUUUGCCAUGACAUAAUAUCCAUUAUUAGGCUAAGGAUUUUUUGCUAUAAAUAGAGGAUUUUCUUCUCAUUUGUAGACACACCAACAAGACUUGUCUUCAAUUCUUGUUUCUUCCUUUCUUCCUUUAUUAAGAGUGUUUUGUAUGAGAGUUAGUGUUGGGAAGCACUUGUGUGAACCCUUUCUUUGGAGUGAUCUUGUGAGGUUAUUCUCUUAGGGUAUUUGGGAUUAAUUAGAGUAUUUACUCUAAUUUUGUACUUUUAUUAUUAUAGUAAAUUGCUCCUCUCCGCUUGUGGACGUAGGUCACUUUGACCGAACCACAUUAAAUUUGUGUCUUCUUUAUCUACUUUAAUUGUCGUUGUUAUCAACUUCCAUUGUCUUUGUUAUUGCCAUUAUAUCGUUGUUUGGUUAAAUUCCGCACUAUCCGAAUUCCCGAUCCUAACAGAAUCAAAGGUUCCAAUAAGCAUAUACAGAAGGAAUAUCCGGGCAACACUCUGCUGACCUUUUGCUCAUGUCAAAUUAUUGCAUCAUAAGAAAGUAACCAAAGAAUUCUCAAAUUUAGUGCGUUCUUGCUGCUUUAAGCUAAGGUUAUGAAUUAUGAUAAUUAAUGUAUAUACUGAUAUUUAGGAUUGUUAUCAGUGGAUGUCCUGAUCAAAUUCAUGAUAUGAAUAUUAGGCGAUCAUGCACUGUGCCUGUGGUCUAAUUUCUCAUCAGAUUGAAAGGGAUGAGCGCUUACCUACAUAAGUUAAGCAGAUAAAAGGCCACUUAUAUUCUGUUUUGAUUUUUAAUUUGUGGCUUAAAUAAGAGUGGAAGCCAGCACAUAUAUCACAUUAAAAUUACUUUGUACGCUGAGAGACGCUACUUUUAAGUGGUACAAGAUAAAGUCACAUUAUUUACCAUACGCAUCCCAAUCGUUUUACUGUGAAAAAACUAAUACUUCCAUUUAAAUUUGGAUUUAAGUUAUAUGCAUCUACAGCAUAAACUUCUUUUACAUUAUUAUCAAUAUGUGAU
rnacentral:lncRNA from 1 species